UACGGAGGAUGCGAGCGUUAUCCGGAUUUAUUGGGUUUAAAGGGUGCGUAGGCGGACUGUCAAGUCAGCGGUAAAAUUGAGAGGCUCAACCUCUUCCCGCCGUUGAAACUGGUGGUCUUGAGUGGAUGAGAAGUACGCGGAAUGCGUGGUGUAGCGGUGAAAUGCAUAGAUAUCACGCAGAACUCCGAUUGCGAAGGCAGCGUACCGGCAUCCAACUGACGCUGAGGUACGAAAGCGUGGGGAUCAAACAGG
rnacentral:rRNA from 1 species